ACAGUUGGACAAAAUACUGUAAAUCCUUUCAUUAUGGGUGAUUCUGAUGAUGAAUACGACAGGAAGAGAAGAGACAAAUUUAGAGGAGAAAGAACGGAAUCUUAUUCGAGAGAAGGACGCCGAGAUGAUAGGAGGAGAGAUGAUUGGGUGGAUAGUGAUUAUUCCAGAGAAUGGUCCAGUCGGCCUAGACAACGUCCAGAUUAUAGGGAAUAUCGUGGAGGUGGAGGUGGAGGACGCGAUAGAUAUAGUCCUGGUAGGUCGCAAGAGAUGGCUCCUCCUAUGAAAAGGAUGAGAGCGGAUUGGGAUGAUCGACCAAGAUAUGGACAUGAUUAUUAUGGAGGUGGAGGAGGUGGUGCAACUUCUUGGGGUCCAGAUCAUUAUCCACCACCCCAUCAUGGCAAUCAUCACUAUGGAAACCAUGGUAACAAUAACAGUCGAGAAGUAGCCGGUAACUUCAGCAAUUCCAAUGUUGAAACUCAACCACCAAUGAUGUCUUUCAAAGCAUUUCUUGGAACUCAAGAAGAUUCAAUUACAGAUGAGGAAGCUAUUAAGCGAUAUAACGAAUAUAAAUUGGAAUUCAGAAGGCAACAAUUGAAUGAAUUCUUCGUUGCACACAAGGAUGAAGAAUGGUUCAAAAUAAAAUAUCAUCCAGAGGAAUCAGUAAAGAGAAAGGAGGAACAAGUGGCAGCUUUAAAGAAACGCGUUGAAGUAUUUUUAGAAAUGCUCGAAGGUGAAGAAAUAGAUAAAGUUUCCGUAGAUGCCGAUCAGGCUGAUGCGUUACUACAUUUAUUAGAUGCUGUGGUCAUUAAAUUAGAAGGUGGUACAGAUGAAGAUUUACAAGUUUUAGACGUAAAGCAAAUAAAUACAAUUAUAACUAAAGAUACAAUCAAAGAUAAAGAGGACAUCAAAAACAAAACUAUGAAUGAUAAGAGAAUUGAUAACAGCGAUAUGAAUAAAAUGGAUGAAACUUCAAGGACAGAGAAAAAUUUAAAAAAUGGACAGAAUGCAGAUGUUGAAGAUAAAAACACAGAAAAAGAUGAAACUUUAACAGAAGAGAUUGAAAAAAUAGAAGAAAAUACAGAAGAAACAAAAAAAGAGGGAGAUUUAGAUAAUGCAGAUAAAACAGAGGAAAGUACUACUAAAAAAAGGAAACGAACUGAUAGUAAUAGUAGUAGCAGUAGCAGUAGUAGCAGUAGUAGUUCUUCUGGCAGUGAUAGUAAUAAACCGGAUACACCGAAAACAGAAACUCAUAUAACUGAAAAAAUGGAUGUUAAUGAUGAAAAUACAGAUGCACAAGAUGGUAAAGAAGACGAUCGAGAGAUUAAAGGGGAUAGUGAACCACAACCAGAAGCUAAAAAGACUGCUAUGGAACCAGAAACAGUAAUUGAUUUAGCUAGCGAAGAUAAAGAAAAAGAACCCAGAGCAUUACACAAGACUAGCAGCAUUUUCCUUCGUAAUUUAGCACCUACGAUAACAAAAGCAGAAGUUGAAGCGAUGUGUAAACGUUUUCCUGGAUUUUUACGAGUUGCCAUAGCAGAUCCUCAACCAGAAAGAAGCGCCGCCCGAGAUACCCACAUUAGGGGUAUUCGCAAGGGUCAGCCUAACCGUAGUGCAAUGGAAAAGCCUCGCCCUGGAGGAACCGCCUUCUUGAUCACGGGCAGCAGUGCUUGUCGGAUUGGCUAUAGCAGCAGCAUGUGGCUGCUGGUUAUGGAAACGUCAUCAUUCAUUUCGUCAUCGUUCAUGGUCACCAGAAAUAGUAGAAGACUUUACUUCCUCCGAUAGAGGAUCUUCAGUAUCCUGGUAUUCACCACCUCGUUAUAGUCGUUCCGGUUCCUUUGUUCAAGCAUUACCACCUCCAUAUAAUGAGGUUACAGCCAAACCAAAUCUAUAUCCAUUAGUCAUUGGGUACGAUGAAGGAUCUGGUAAAGGAACUUCAGGAUUUGUAAUGCGUUAUUUUAGAUCACUCUCACAUGCAAGCACAUUAGAUUCGUUAGGUUCAAGUUUUAUGUGUAACAUGGUGAACGAGGCAAAUACCAUAAUUCCACCACCGUAUUCGUGUAAUAAUAGCGUUGACGAGUUGUCUGCAGUAGAAUGUGCAAGGAUGGAAAAUAUUGAUGUUGGAUCCGUUGUAUCGUUGGCUAAUCAUAGGACUACCUCUGACAUAUCGAGUUUAGCUGCUCAAUCUCCGUGUUCACCACCACGGGCUACUAGU
rnacentral:misc_RNA from 1 species